rnacentral:rRNA from 1 species
UGGGGAAUAUUGCACAAUGGGCGCAAGCCUGAUGCAGCCAUGCCGCGUGUAUGAAGAAGGCCUUCGGGUUGUAAAGUACUUUCAGUCGGGAGGAAGGUGGUAAGGUUAAUAACCUUGGCAAUUGACGUUACCGACAGAAGAAGCACCGGCUAACUCCGUGCCAGCAGCCGCGGUAAUACGGAGGGUGCAAGCGUUAAUCGGAAUUACUGGGCGUAAAGCGCACGCAGGCGGUUGAUUGAGUCAGAUGUGAAAUCCCCGGGCUUAACCCGGGAAUUGCAUCUGAUACUGGUCAGCUAGAGUCUUGUAGAGGGGGGUAGAAUUCCAUGUGUAGCGAUGAAAUGCGUAGAGAUGUGGAGGAAUACCGGUGGCGAAGGCGGCCCCCUGGACGAAGACUGACGCUCAGGUGCGAAAGCGUGGGGAGCAAACAGG